rnacentral:rRNA from 1 species
GACGUAGGGCGCGAGCGUUGUCCGGAUUUAUUGGGCGUAAAGAGCUCGUAGGCGGCUUGUCGCGUCGUCCGUGAAAACCUGCGGCUCAACUGCAGGCUGGCGGUCGAUACGGGCAGGCUGGAGUUCGGUAGGGGAGACUGGAAUUCCUGGUGUAGCGGUGAAAUGCGCAGAUAUCGUAAGGAAGACCAGUGGCGAAGGCGAAUCUCUGGGCAGCUGCUGACGCUGAGGCACGAAGGCCAGGGGAGCGAACGGG